GCAUAAUGGUGGUUCAGUGUUAGAAUUCUCGCCUGCCACACGGUAAGCCCGGUUUGAUUCCCGCCAAUGCA
rnacentral:tRNA from 1 species